AUACGGGGGGUGCAAGCGUUAAUCGGAAUUACUGGGCGUAAAGCGCGCGUAGGCGGUUUGCUCAGUCGGAUGUGAAAGCCCAGGGCUCAACCUUGGAACUGCAUACGAUACUGGCAAACUAGAGUGUGAGAGAGGAUAGUGGAAUUUCCGGUGUAGCGGUGAAAUGCGUAGAUAUCGGAAGGAACAUCAGUGGCGAAGGCGACUGUCUGGCUCAACACUGACGCUGAGGUGCGAAAGCGUGGGUAGCAAACAGGAUUAGAUACCCUUGUAGUCC
rnacentral:rRNA from 1 species